GGCACGGUGGUGCAGUGGGUAGCACUGUCGCCUCACAGCAAGUAGGUUGUAAGUUCGAAUCUCAGCUUGGGGCC
rnacentral:tRNA from 1 species